rnacentral:lncRNA from 1 species
CUCGCACCCAACCCGGUUUCGAAACUGAUGGAAUUCCGGCGUUCCAAGCUGUUUUUCAGGUGAAUUUCACCCCAUUUCCACCUGCAAUCAUCACCAUACCUCUUCCCCUUCAUUCUUCUAUCAAGAUUUGAUGGAAAUUGGGUCAAAUUCGUGACUUUUGGCAAUGGUGACACUGACGGGUUUUGUGUUAAUUCCCCAUUUCUAAAGCAAUUUCUUCCAAUUGUCACCACCCAUAUACUUCCCUUGAGGCCUAGAGCAAUGCCUAAUCAUUGGUUGGAACGUCGGAGUCGAAUUGGCGACGAAUCAAGAACACCCAUUUCUAGGGUUCCGAUAGGUUUUGAUGAAAUUGGAGCCUUUCCAGGCCAAAUUGGCCUUGGUCACAGGUAUGAAGUUGUUCUACUCAUUUAGAUCUUCAAAUCUACAAAUUUUGGUAAUUUUUAGAGAUAGUUGAUUUUUCCGGCUA